AUACAGGGGGCGCCGUAACUGCCAUUGCUUAAAAUUCGCGCGCGUGCCCUAUGCCCACGUGUAUGCCAAGUAGAGCAAGCAAACGAAAGACGACAUCAUUUCUGUGUGAUACAUUUCCGUCUGGGAACCACACAAACGAGACGGUGAUCUUAUGUCCUGUGUACAUCUACAAGCUGGAAAUGCUUUUAAGCACAACCCUGGCAGAAAAAAUUUCCCGUGUGUUUCCUUGCCCAAAAACUGAAGAAGAGGUGUACAUGGAGCUCAUCCCAGGCUGA